UGGACUCAGGGUGGAGCCACCCUGGACUCAUGUAAGGGCCAGCCACUGAAGGGAGAGCAUCUCUUGGAUGUAGGCUGCUUCCUAUGUGGGGCUGUUGCAUAGUCAGAGAGCUUCUUCACUGUUUGGUAUUUUGAGGCUUGAUUUGCAUAAGCAACAAGAUUUGCUUCAGUUCUAAGAAGUGAAGAAGCACUUCAGGCCCUACCUUGUGCUCUUCAUCAAGGAAUGUUGCCUUUAUUUAAGUUGUGUUAAGUAACAAAAGAAGCAUUUGGGAAAUGCCUUAGAUGAAGAUAUUAAGAUGCCAGCAUUUCACAGCUGAACAUCAUUGGUGACAGUUUCUGAGGACCUGUGACUUCCAUUGGUUUUGUGGGGUGAUGAAGAUCCUGAAUCUGCAAAAUUAAUGCACAUAAGAAGCUCAUAAGGCAUGAAAUGUUAAUUAAUUGAUUUGAAGAAAUGAUGCAGAAUUACAUCAGUUGUAGUAAGCAGCUUGCCUUGGAAGUCUCUGAAGUCCCUGUCUGUUUCAUCCAAGACUUCAGACUGGAAAGGAUGGUACUUGCGAAGAGUUACUUUGGGAUCUGAGUAUCUGGAAGUUUCUGGUAGCUUAUCUGUUGGGCACUGCCAAGUUGAAUUAUCUGAAAGGGGAGGAUGGGAAGAAGGAAAGACUGUUUUCAAAGAUACUGCCCUGGGUGGAGCUGACCAAUCUUCCGGAGUGCUGAUUUAGGGUUUAGUCACAGAGUAUAAUAUUAUUUUACUUUACACACGAUCAACAGGAAAAGCAUUUUAAAGACAUCUUUACCUAGGGUUUAUUAAAUCCCUAUAUGCCUGCACAGUGGGCUGCGUGCUCUGUCAUUGCCGGAAGGUUCUUUUGAUUAGAGUUGUUUCUAGUUCAACAGUUUAACAGCUUUCCAAGACCUAUGAAUUACUUUUUUUAAAGAUAUCCAGGUGUACAUUCUAAUGUUGUUUUCAUUCUCAUUUGGAAAGACAAAUACUUAUUCUUUUGAAAAAUCAGGAAUAUUACUAGGUAAAUGAAAAUAUAUCAGUAAGAAUUGAAUCUGUACCAUAAUUGAGCGCAUCCUCUCAUUUUCAACAAUUAUUUUCCAAUAUUUUUAAUUUGGUUGUUAUUUCAUUGUAAACUUGGAAUAUCAUAAUUAUUUUUAAUGGUAGUAUUCACAUAUAAUAACUAGAGAAGAAUUUGGAUUAAAAUUUUGAAGAGCAAAUCUUAGUAGUACCUGUACAGUAUAUUAACUGCUAAUAAAAGUAGGUGUUACUAAAAGGCCCUUUGUAAAGAAAGUUUCAUCCCAGUACUUUUUCAGUAUUAGUGUGUAAUGAAAUUAUUUCUAUCGGUUCAGUGUGCUAAAUGGAAUUGAUUAUCACUCUGCUCAUGUUAACACACAAAGCAUAAUAUAGAUAGGAUUUUGAAAGCUAAGUAAAUGCAACAUUAAAAAUGGGAUUAUUUUUCAAAAACUGAAAUUAGAACAUUUAAGGUUCAUAAUAAAAGCUUGAUUUUGGGGCAUCCUGUAUGAAAGUAUUUAGUAGAAUGGAGCUGCACUUUGUCAAAUAAGUACUCCAAACAGUAUUGUUCCAACACCUGCAUAUUGUAUAUGUGAAGUUUCCUCAGCUAUUCUUUGUUCUGAAUGCAGUUUAAGAUCAAUGGAAAUAGAUGAGAUCUAAUACCAUGACUUGGUUGUCUUUCCAUGGAAUUUCAUAGCAUGCAGACUUUUGCAAAAAAUUUGCAUUAGCUCUGACCUUUGCAGUUCUAGCAUGAAACCGGUUGCAGUUUGUUCCCUGUUACUCAUUGUUUCAGUCAGAUAACCAUUAUGAAAAGGAGAGACCUUUGAACUGUAAUAGAAUAAUCACUUCUCCUAAGUGCAGGAAGAGUAACUUCAGUCAGUCCUUUAUGCCCAUGCUUGACCAGCAGUACUUCAAGGACACUUAGACUUCGUUAUAAAGAAUUUCAAGAGCUAGUAGGAGUGAGAGAGGCUUGUUCAUGCUCAACAGCAUCCUGUUUGUUUUUCUGCAUUCAGGCCAAAAUAUAACUGAAUGUUCUUUACAGCUUGCACAUUCUUUGGAUGAUUUCAUAUCACCUCCCAGAUUCUGUCCUGGUUUGCUUUGUUGCCAUUUUUAAUUUAUAUAUAUGUAUGUAUGUAUACAUACACGUAGUUUUUUUCUAAUACACUGGAUUAUACAGUUCAGGACCUUCCACUUCUUCCAAGAGGAUUUUCCCUCUUCUCUUGCCAUGCCUACAUCUUGUCCAGACAUCUGUUUCUGAUUUCAGACCUCUUCAUUCUCUUGUUUAUUGAACACAUUCUAUUCAGGUGCUACCAGUACUACAUGACUCAAUCAUUUCUUAAUCAAACUGUGUUUCUGUGUUCCUGAUAUUACCAAUGCAUAUAUUACCCUCUAUCUUUUCUACAUCUCUUAUUUGUUGCAUUUUUUUCUCCUUCUGCUUACUGAACUCUUGUGGUUCUUACUACCAGACUCAAUCUAUUUGGCACCCUGGGCUCUUUCAGAACUGUUUUAACACAGACGGUUUUUGCAAAAUAUAUGGAUAUCAAACUUUAAGUUCUGAUUGGAAGUCUGGUAAUGUUCACAAUAUGCUGAUAAUUUCCCCUCCCCUUGAUCUCAUCACUAGUCUCAUCAAAUGGUAAACAUUGCUGGAAAAUUCCUUAGCUUUUAAAUGCUGUUAUAAUUAUAUGUAAAAUGAAAUUGAGGCGGAAAAUAAUGAUCAUAAUUUUAUAAAAUAAACUAUACUACAUAUGAAUAAAACAUGAUGCUAACAUCCUGCACCUUGACUUCGGUGAACUUAACCUUUUUAUGUAGGAAUCAAUGUUCUGUCUUCAGGCAUAGGAAAUUAAUUGUAAAAAUCUACAGUACAGUCUUUGUAGGAAAUUCUAAAUAAUUCACUGUUUUCAAACUACAGGAGGGACUUAGGAUACUAUUAUCUUCAUUGAAAUUUCACUGGAGUGCUUUUUCUAACUAACUUUAGAGGGUCACAGAACUUAAGUAUGAACUUGCUGAAAAUUGCAACAGUUUGGAUUUUGGAAGUGCAGUACAGAGGAUUGGCCUAGCCUCAUGAGAUAGGUGCGUUUUGAGAACCCAGCACAAUAAGCGUCUGUAGUAGAAAGAAGGAAUUUGGUAAGAUAUUUGGAUUUGCUGAUUGGGUCACAGAGGAAAGUAACAGUGUUCUGUCAAGCCUUUAUAUUUAAUAUUUUUGUGUGUAUGUCAAAGCAGAAGUCUAGUUUGACCCUUAAUCUACCUGUGAAUUAUUAAAUACAUUCAGAAGCUGCGUACGAUUGCAUACAUACUUUGGUAAUGUAUAUUUAUAUGGAACUGUCAUCUCCUGAAUGAUAAACUGUUACUUAGGUGUCUACUGUUCUUUAAAUUCUAUGUAUUUAUGUAAGCUAUAUUAAGAAAAUUGCUAUCUGAAAUAUCUAUGUAGAGCACCUGGAAUGAGUGCAUAAAUUACUUAAUGUGCUUUAACAUCUGACUUUAAAUAGUCUCCUCUCUAGCAAUCUGUACAUCACAGGUUUAAUCCGGACGGAAGAUGCAAAACUGACAAGAUAAUGCAUUUAACAUAAGUUUAGCAAAUCUGCGUUAGGGGUCUGUUAAAAACCCUCUGAAAUGCUGAUCGCCUGUUCCUUGCAAGGAUACCAGAUGACCAAAUGUCAGUGAUGCCAAAAAACAACAUUCACUGUAGUACCUUAGUGUUUCUGUGACUACUAUGUUACUAGUAUCAGUGGUAACUAAUGUCUUGACUACUUGGUUAUGUAGGACUAUCUUUGAGUAAAUUGAGUUCUUAUGAAUUAUUCAUGUAAGUAAUUUAUGUUCAGGAUACCAUUUAUCUUAAUACCAUUCUAAAGACUGAACUCAAUUGUAUUUACUACAGUGUAGGACAAUUAUGGUAAUAUUUACUGUAUAGAAAUAUAUGUAGUAAAUAUAUCUUAAAUUAGUUUGAAAUAUGAGAAUGAGAGCUAGAACAAAAUUGAACCAAAAUGCUUUAAAUUAAACAGUUUUACUGGCAGGGGACACUUCUAUAGUCCAUUAUCUUGUUUUAAUUGCAGACUCAGCUAAACAUAUCUACAAUACUGAAAGCUGGCAUCAAGAUUCCAGUACACAUGUUCAGUUUUUGGCUUUUUGACUGAAUCUCUUAUUUUUGUAACAGCAGCAGCUCUAGCACACUCUCCUGCACCCAUGCCAGACAUGUCAUUUCUACAGAUAUAAGAAGUCAUCCAAAUUCAGAAUUCAGAAGUACCAUGUGAAUUACUGUAAUUGUUUUCAAUGUUCAAAAUGACACCUUGUACAUAUAC